CCUACAUCUGUUUAAAAGACUUCUCAGUGUUUAGACUAUGAUUGAAAACAUUCUGCAAAGUGGGAAACCACAUUGAGGUUACAAUUAUACAAAUAUCUUCCUGUGCUGUAGUGGGGGUUACUUUUGAACAGACAAGUAGAGACUAGAAAAGACCAUAGCAGGCAGUGACACAUCUGCUUGCUCUUGCCCUACAUUUCCUUGCAGGUACCCUCAGGACAAAGGAAGACAGAAUUUAAAAUUAAGAACUUUAAGACCCCCGCUGGCUCAGAGCAAGAGACCAUCUAGCACAGCAUGCAGCUUCCAACAGAGAACAGCCAGUUGCCUGGAGGAGGCAUACUAAAGAAAUGGGCUGUACAUGUAGUCACACCCACCUUUUAAUGGAUAUUUACCUAGACUCAGGCUCGGUUAUUUCCUCAUUUUCAAGAGGAUUUUUUUUCC